CACGGUCACUUUCAGCAUCGUC
rnacentral:siRNA from 1 species